UACGGGGGGGGCAAGCGUUGUUCGGAAUUACUGGGCGUAAAGGGCUCGUAGGUGGCCACCUAAGUCAGACGUGAAAUCCCCAGGCUUAACCUGGGAACUGCGUCUGAUACUGGAUGGCUUGAAUUCGGGAGAGGGAUGCAGAAUUCCAGGUGUAGCGGUGAAAUGCGUAGAUAUCUGGAGGAAUACCGGUGGCGAAGGCGGCAUCCUGGACCGGCAUUGACGCUGAGGCGCGAAAGCCAGGGGAGCAAACGGG
rnacentral:rRNA from 1 species